UUCUGUUUUCCGUGCUGAUGUUCCAUGGU
rnacentral:piRNA from 1 species